rnacentral:rRNA from 1 species
GAUGAACGCUGGCGGCGUGCUUAACACAUGCAAGUCGAACGGAAAGGCCCAAGCUUGCUUGGGUACUCGAGUGGCGAACGGGUGAGUAACACGUGGGUGAUCUGCCCUGCACUUCGGGAUAAGCCUGGGAAACUGGGUCUAAUACUGGAUAGGACCACUUCUUGGAUGUUGUGGUGGAAAGUUUUUUCGGUGUGGGAUGAGCUCGCGGCCUAUCAGCUUGUUGGUGGGGUAAUGGCCUACCAAGGCGUCGACGGGUAGCCGGCCUGAGAGGGUGUACGGCCACAUUGGGACUGAGAUACGGCCCAGACUCCUACGGGAGGCAGCAGUGGGGAAUAUUGCACAAUGGGCGCAAGCCUGAUGCAGCGACGCCGCGUGGGGGAUGACGGCCUUCGGGUUGUAAACUCCUUUCGCUAGGGACGAAGCGUUUUGUGACGGUACCUGGAGAAGAAGCACCGGCUAACUACGUG